AUCAAAACAAGAUGAAGUUCUUUGGAAUUGUGUUGUUUUUGUUCUCACUUGUCGCAGCAAGUUUUGCAACAAAAAGAUACCUGAGGUCCGCUGGCCCCCCUUUUCCACCACAUCAUGGACCACCACCGUAUAACGGGGAAUGGAGUCAGUGGGGUAAUCCAGAUAAUUGAACAUUUUACAAGAAAAGAAAUUUUGUCUUUGCCAAAAAAUAAAGAAAUUAUAAAAUA